GUUUUUCUCUUGCUCAGCUCUCAAGCUCUCGCCUUUCCUAUCAGCCUGCUGUCCUGGGCCUUGGAUCGGCUGACCUGGCUUAUCCAGUAGUGUUUACUGCUGGCUUAAACACUACACACGCUCACCAGCUGAUGGUUCCUGGGAAGGAAGGUGGGGUGCCUCUUGCUCCCAACCACCCUGCUCAUGGUGCCCAGGCUGAUCAGGAGAGACUGGUGGUGCACAUGCCUUCUGAUGGAACCCACUGUGCAGCCACACCCUCCAGCAGUGAGGACACUGAGACUGUAUCUAACAGCAGUGAAGGACGGGCCUCACCCCAUGACAUCCUGGAAACUAUCUUUGUCCGAAAAGUGGGAGCAUUUGUCAACAAACCCAUCAAUCAGGUGAUUUCUUUUGCUACUGCCUAAAGGCCUGUCUGUAUUCUUAGAGUAAGGUCCCCUGUACAGUGUCCCAUAGAACUGCUGAAAUUGCUUGCAAAAUUUAUAUGUGUGUAAGUUUGUCUUUGAAUAGAAUUAAUAA
rnacentral:lncRNA from 1 species